rnacentral:rRNA from 1 species
UACGUAGGGGGCAAGCGUUGUCCGGAAUUAUUGGGCGUAAAGAGCGCGUAGGCGGUCAGAUAAGUCGGCUGUGAAAGUCAGGGGCUCAACCCUUGAAAGCCGGCCGAUACUGUCGGACUAGAGUCCGGAAGAGGCAAGUGGAAUUCCCGGUGUAGCGGUGAAAUGCGCAGAUAUCGGGAAGAACACCCGUGGCGAAGGCGGUUCUCUGGGCCUUACCUGACGCUGAGGAGCGAAAGCGUGGGGAGCGAACAGG